rnacentral:rRNA from 1 species
UACGUAGGGGGCAAGCGUUGUCCGGAAUCAUUGGGCGUAAAGAGCGUGUAGGCGGCCCGGUAAGUCCGCUGUGAAAGUCCAGGGCUCAACCCUGGGAUGCCGGUGGAUACUGUCGGGCUCGAGUCCGGAAGAGGAGUGUGGAAUUCCUGGUGUAGCGGUGAAAUGCGUAGAUAUCUGGAGGAACACCGGUGGCGAAGGCGGCAUCCUGGACCGACACUGACACUGAGGAGCGAAAGCCAGGGGAGCAAACGGG